GCAGCAAGUGCUAUACAUUCUGAGAGUUCAAUCUUUCCCUGACAUUCGUUACUGCAAUUUGUGAACAAAAUGAUAUUCAAAUGAUAAUGCUAUGAAAUCAAAAUGUUAACUCUUUAUUUUUGAGAUGGCUGUCCUGUUGCAAAUUUAAAAAAAAAAUUGAAUCUCUGAUUUUACAGAGUAUAUUAUAAAGAUGAACAUACGUAAAUAUGAUAAGUUAACACGGUAACAUCUUGAAAAACAGAGAUGAGGCUAUUGCAUGAAAGGACGUCAAACUUCUAGUAGUAAUCAGCAAUAAGUUAAUUUCCAUUUUCAUACAGCUACUUAUAUAAUACUUGUAACUUUCUGUCUACACUACAUAAAAAUUUCG
rnacentral:lncRNA from 1 species